rnacentral:rRNA from 1 species
UAAUACGGAGGGUCCGAGCGUUAUCCGGAAUCAUUGGGUUUAAAGGGUGCGCAGGCGGUAAAGUAAGUCAGUGGUGAAAUCCCUUCGCUCAACGAAGGAACUGCCAUUGAUACUGCUAUACUUGAAUAUAGUCGAAGUGGGCGGAAUGUGACAUGUAGCGGUGAAAUGCUUAGAUAUGUCACAGAACACCGAUAGCGAAGGCAGCUCACUAGACUAACAUUGACGCUCAUGCACGAAAGCGUGGGGAGCGAACAGGAUUAGAUACCCUGGUAGUCCACGCUGUAAACUAUGAUUACUCGAUAUUGGCGAUAUACGGUCAGUGUCUAAGCGAAAGUGAUAAGUAAUCCACCUGGGGAGUACGGUCGCAAGAUUG